CAAUGGUGAGAAGGUAUACGGCUGGCAAUAUAGCUGCUCUCCAACUUUUAAAUGUAGAAGUCACAUCACUUUUUUAUGUAGAACUUUUUUAUGUAGACAGCUGCAAAUCAGAAUCCAUUACUGAUCCAUUAGUAGACGGAUGCCUUAAUAACCCGUUAUAGGAGAAAAAGAGAUGCCUUAGUAACCCGUUAUAGGAGAAAAAGAGAUGCCUUAGUAACCCGUUAUAGGAGAAAAAGAGAUGCCUUAG
rnacentral:misc_RNA from 1 species